ACCGGGCUUCUAGUUCUUCUUCUUUUCUUUCCCCCUGAUUUUUCAACACUUGUUUUUUCCCUCGUUCUCACCUUCUCUUCCAGGCCACUACCUCCGAAUUCCCACCUUCUCCAUUGAAGCCGUUUUUGAGCUCUCUAUCUUCGUUGAAGCAGCUGCAUGCACCUCCUUCUCUCUCCAUAUCUCUCCUCCAUUGAACUCGUGCUCUCUAUUCUCCAUUGAAGCGCAUUCUGAGUUUUCUCACCUCCAUUGAAGCAGCUUCGAGGUUGUGGGGAAAGGCAUGUUGGUUAUCAUUUCCGAUUCUAGAAAGCUCUCUUUUCUAACAUUUUGUAAUGAAAUGCACAGGUUCUUUCCAGUGACUCAUGUUCAACUUUCAAUCCCUGGCAACUCAAGACACCAGAUUGGUAGAAUGCUUACUGUUGAUGCCUUGAUAGGGAACUGUUUUUUAUUAGAUCAGUGUCUAAAAUUGGAGCUUCUUCAAAUUCUAUCGUCAUAAAAGACACUCGUGAGGAUCAGGAAGGCAAGGAAGCUACUACUGUAGACGAGACUUUUGUUAGAGCUCUGGAAUACGGGCUUCCUCCAUCUGCAGGCUAGGGGCUAGGCGUGGACAGACUUGUCAUGCUGCUUACGGGCUCAGAUUUCCAAUGUACACAAUAUAUAUAUAGUCCUAUUAUGUAUAUGUGUAAUAUUACAAGUUAUUGAA